rnacentral:rRNA from 1 species
CCUACGGGUGGCAGCAGUAGGGAAUUUUGCGCAAUGGGCGAAAGCCUGACGCAGCAACGCCGCGUGAUCGAGACGCCCUUCGGGGUGUUAAGAUCUGUCAGUGGGGACGAAACUUGACGGUACCCACAGAGGAAGCACCGGCUAACUCCGUGCCAGCAGCCGCGGUAAUACGGGGGGUGCAAGCGUUGUCCGGAAUCAUUGGGCGUAAAGAGUUCGUAGGCAGCACGUAAAGUCUGGUGUUAAAGGCAGAGGCUCAACUGCUGUACGGCACUGGAUACUUGCGAGCUAGAAUGCGGGAGAGGUGAGAGGAAUUCCUGGUGUAGCGGUGAAAUGCUUAGAUAUCAGGAAGAACACCGGUGGCGAAGGCGCUUUACUGGGCCGUAAUUGACGCUGAGGAACGAAAGCGAGGGUAGCAAAUGGGAUUAGAUACCCGAGUAGUC